UACAGAGGUCUCAAGCGUUGUUCGGAUUCAUUGGGCGUAAAGGGUGCGUAGGCGGCUUCUCAAGUCAGGGGUGAAAGCCCAGAGCUCAACUCUGGAAUUGCCUUUGAGACUGAGUGGCUUGAGUACGAGAGAGGUGAGUGGAAUUCCCAGUGUAGAGGUGAAAUUCGUAGAUAUUGGGAAGAACACCGGUGGCGAAGGCGGCUCACUGGCUCGUAACUGACGCUCAUGCACGACAGCGUGGGGAUCAAACAGG
rnacentral:rRNA from 1 species